ACCUGACAUAUUCUUGAUUGAUCUGCAGAUCCAUGCCAUGUCAAUUGAUUUCUGUCUACUGUCAGCAUUUGCACCCUUCUGGAUUUACAAUGACAUGACUGCUCGAAAGUGGUAUGACAAAGGAUUUUGGCUUCUCCCCCUAUCGGUGAUUCCUUUACUGGGUCCAGCACUAUACCUUCUCCAACGUCCAUCUAUUCCAACGGUACCAGUUUCAUCAAGCCCAGCUUCGGCUGAAGAAAAAUGAUCUAAAUCACUUACAGCAGGAUUUGAAUAGCGUGGGACAUUGAGCAAAAACAAACCGACAGGUGAAACAUAUCUAAACUAGCAGCGCAAAAACUUCCCUCUGCUAUUUGUAAUGUAAAUAGUUCAGCAACAGCAGUUGAACUGAAGACCAUUUCUGCUGGAAAUUCCAAGACUUGUUGCUCUGUCUUUUUCUUUUUCUUCUUAGUUCUUUUUUACCACCCUUGCUUUAUAUAAACCUUGUCACAUGUAUUCUUGAGAUGGUAAUUUUCAAUUUCAUGUUUAUUUUAGUUUCUUUUAUAGUUAAACAGUA